AUCCUAUCUGCAGCCUCUAGUCCGAGACUCCCAAGGGCCCCACGACAUCUGAUGCAUCUUAGCACAGAGCACGCUAACGUCGACUCAUGCCACAUCCCUGUUACACACAAUCGGUCAGAGAGGAAGCAGGGCAGAGCAGUUUUCCUCUGAGCCAGACCUCAGAGGUGGGCGUGGUAUUUUUGUUUUUCCUUCCACCAAACAAAAGGAUCUGUGUAAAGCAAAGCAUCAUCUUACUGCAAGGGGAGACAUCGCUGGGGUCUGGUUAGAAGAUCCGGCUCUGUUUUCUCUAAUGAAGGUCUUUAUAGGAAAUCUGCAUUAGUGCCUUGUCCGUGUUCAUCGACCCUCUGCUUCAUGGCGGAAGGGCACUUACUUGAAGGCCCCUAAGCAGAGAAGAAACGGGAGUUUCUGUCCCCUCCCUAGCUGGCUUCCCUGGCACAUGCUGGUUUCCCUCCAAUUCUGUAGUGCAUGUCAUGACCAGGGGAGGAAAGAAUUCAGCUGGACCACCUCAAGACCUGUGUGACGGAGUCGAAAACUUUGCUGAUGUACAUGUUGGUGGUCAAGGAAGGCUUUCUGAACACUUACCUGGUGCCCACAGAGGUGAAUCACAGACGUUCUGAGAGCUGGAAGCUGGAAAGAGUCAGUCUGGGGUCCUAAAAGGUAUCUUCUCUUCAGUGCCGACAUCAGGGGCAUAUUGGUGGUAGAAACAGGGUCUCCGCGUGGCCACAGGCACCAUUAAUUGGUUCAGUUUUCUUCCAUUUCUCCUGAGCUCAUCCUGACCCUGUGCACUGCUGACCAGGAGUUCUAACCUGCAGCAUCGUGGGUGGGUCCAGCUUGCAGCCUCAUCAGGGUUGAGUUUGUUACUCUUACUGAUGAAGAAACUGAGACUCACAAGGAUAAAGGCCCUGACCCAGGGUAACGCAGUGGUGGGGCAAGGACAUGAGCCCCGCUUCUCUCACUUAUGAGGAAAUCUGCAAGGACGAUCAUUGUGCAGAAAGAGGAGGGGGAGGGGGUCUGAACUUCUGAGGCAGCCUCGCUUCUGCAGCGUUGUCUGUGGGAAGGACACACCACCCUGGCUGCACAUUAGAAUCACCCGGGCAGCUUUUAAAACUCCCGGGGCCCAAGUCUUACCUCGGGCCAAUUAAAACAGAAUCUCUGGAGGGGAGACCCAGGCAACAGGAUUUUUUUUUCCAAAACUGCCCAAAUGGUUCCAAUGUGUAGCCCAGGUUAAGAACAACUGUUUAAGGGCAAACUCUGUUGCAGCUGUUGAAAAAAUUUUUUAAUGCAAUAAUCUUGGAAUUCUCUUGCUUUAAAAAGGACUAAUAGCUUGCUACUUCUUCCUUCUCUGGUCACUCCAGAGUAGUCAUUUUUCAAGAUAAGGACCUGGGUUAAGUGAGCAUAAAAACACGAAUAAAAAUUAAAAUAAAUUACUAAGUGAGAAAUAAAAGCCAUGAAUAAUGUAACAAGGGGAAGAGCUGGAAGAACUAGGGCAGAAAGCAAAGCUGAGAAAAUAUAAGAAGAGGGUCACUGGGGAAGCCUCUGUGGGGUCGGAAUACAAAUGGAGGAAGGAAA